GGUGGAGUGGCUUAGUGGUUAGCAUGUUUGUCUUGCACCUCUAGGGUUGGGGGUUUGAAUCCUGCCUCUGCCC